rnacentral:rRNA from 1 species
CUUAAAUGAUUUCUUCGGAAUGAAUUUAAAUGGAUUAGUGGCGAACGGGUGAGUAACGCGUGAGUAACCUGCCUUACACAAGGGGAUAGCCUCUGGAAACGGAGAAUAAUACCCUAUGAAACUAUCAUAUCGCAUGAAGUGAUAGUCAAAGUGUUAGCGGUGUAAGAUGGACUUGCGUCUGAUUAGCUAGUUGGUGAAUUAAAAGCUCACCAAGGCAACGAUCAGUAGCCGGCUUGAGAGAGUGUACGGCCACAUUGGGACUGAGACACGGCCCAGACUCCUACGGAAGGCAGCAGUGGGGAAUUUUGCACAAUGGGGGAAACCCUGAUGCAGCGACGCCGCGUGAUUUAGAAGGCCUUCGGGUUGUAAAAAUCUUUUGUAUAGGAAGAAAAUGACAGUACUAUACGAAUAAGGUCCGGCUAAUUACGUGCCAGCAGCCGCGGUAAUACGUAAGGACCGAGCGUUGUCCGGAAUCAUUGGGCGUAAAGGGUACGUAGGCGGGUAUUUAAGUUAGAAGUCAAAGGCUAUAGCUCAACUAUAGUAAGCUUCUAAAACUGGAUACCUUGAGAGAUGGAAGGGAAAGUGGAAUUCCUAGUGUAGCGGUGGAAUGCGCAGAUAUUAGGAAGAAUACCGGUGGCGAAGGCGACUUUCUGGCCAUUUUCUGACGCUGAGGUACGAAAGCGUGGGUAGCAAACAGGAUUAGAUACCCUGGUAGUCCACGCCGUAAACGAUGAGUGUUAGGUGUCUGGUAUAAACUGGGUGCCGCAGCUAACGCAUUAAACACUCCGCCUGGGGAGUACGCACGCAAGUGUGAAACUCAAAGGAAUUGACGGGGACCCGCACAAGCAGCGGAGCAUGUGGUUUAAUUCGAAGCAACGCGAAGAACCUUACCAAGUCUUGACAUAUUACGAAGGGAGUCUAGAGAUAGACCCUUAGAGCUUCGGCUCACUGUAAUACAGGUGGUGCAUGGUUGUCGUCAGCUCGUGUCGUGAGAUGUUGGGUUAAGUCCCAUAACGAGCGCAACCCCUCUUGCUAGUUACCAUCAUUAAGUUGGGGACUCUAGUAAUACUGCCGGUGACAAA